CCUUCGGGUGGGGAUUAGUGGCGAACGGGUGAGUAACACGUGGGCAAUCUGCCCUGCACUCUGGGACAAGCCCUGGAAACGGGGUCUAAUACCGGAUACUGACCUGCCAAGGCAUCUUGGCGGGUCGAAAGCUCCGGCGGUGCAGGAUGAGCCCGCGGCCUAUCAGCUUGUUGGUGAGGUAAUGGCUCACCAAGGCGACGACGGGUAGCCGGCCUGAGAGGGCGACCGGCCACACUGGGACUGAGACACGGCCCAGACUCCUACGGGAGGCAGCAGUGGGGAAUAUUGCACAAUGGGCGAAAGCCUGAUGCAGCGACGCCGCGUGAGGGAUGACGGCCUUCGGGUUGUAAACCUCUUUCAGCAGGGAAGAAGCGAAAGUGACGGUACCUGCAGAAGAAGCGCCGGCUAACUACGUGCCAGCAGCCGCGGUAAUACGUAGGGCGCAAGCGUUGUCCGGAAUUAUUGGGCGUAAAGAGCUCGUAGGCGGCUUGUCGCGUCGGUUGUGAAAGCCCGGGGCUUAACCCCGGGUCUGCAGUCGAUACGGGCAGGCUAGAGUUCGGUAGGGGAGAUCGGAAUUCCUGGUGUAGCGGUGAAAUGCGCAGAUAUCAGGAGGAACACCGGUGGCGAAGGCGGAUCUCUGGGCCGAUACUGACGCUGAGGAGCGAAAGCGUGGGGAGCGAACAGGAUUAGAUACCCUGGUAGUCCACGCCGUAAACGGUGGGCACUAGGUGUGGGCAACAUUCCACGUUGUCCGUGCCGCAGCUAACGCAUUAAGUGCCCCGCCUGGGGA
rnacentral:rRNA from 1 species